CCUACGGGAGGCAGCAGUGAGGAAUAUUGGUCAAUGGGCGUAAGCCUGAACCAGCCAAGUCGCGUGAGGGAUGAAGGUUCUAUGGAUCGUAAACCUCUUUUAUAAGGGAAUAAAGUGCGGGACGUGUCCCGUUUUGUAUGUACCUUAUGAAUAAGGAUCGGCUAACUCCGUUCCAGCAGCCGCGGUAAUACGGAGGAUCCGAGCGUUAUCCGGAUUUAUUUGGUUUAAAGGGUACGUAGGCGGACUUUUAAGUGAGCGGUGAAAGUUGGUGGCGCAACCAUAGAAUUGCCGUCGAAACUGGGAGGCUUGAGAAUGUUAGAGGCAGGCGGAAUGCGUGGUGUAGCGGUGAAAUGCUUAGAUAUCAGGCAGAACCCCGAUUGCGAAGGCAGCCUGCCAAGCCAUGACUGACGCUGAUGCACGAAAGCGUGGGGAGCAAACAGGAUUAGAUACCCCAGUAGUC
rnacentral:rRNA from 1 species